AACGCUGUGAGGCAGUUUGUUUGAUAUCUACUGGGAAUGUUGGGUGUCUGAAAGGAAGGACCUCUUAGUACGAGAGGAACGGAGCGUUCGUAGCCUCUGGUAGACCGAUUGUCUGACAAGGCAGGUCGGGCAGCCACGCUAUAAGGGAUAAAUGCUGAAAGCAUCUAAGCAUGAAACCCGCCUUGAAAAGAGACACCUUAGGA
rnacentral:rRNA from 1 species